rnacentral:rRNA from 1 species
UGGCGGCAGGCCUAACACAUGCAAGUCGAGCGGUAACAGAAAGAAAGCUUGCUUUCUUUGCUGACGAGCGGCGGACGGGUGAGUAAUGCCUAGGGAUCUGCCCAGUCGAGGGGGAUAACAGUUGGAAACGACUGCUAAUACCGCAUACGCCCUACGGGGGAAAGGAGGGGACCUUCGGGCCUUUCGCGAUUGGAUGAACCUAGGUGGGAUUAGCUAGUUGGUGAGGUAAUGGCUCACCAAGGCGACGAUCCCUAGCUGUUCUGAGAGGAUGAUCAGCCACACUGGGACUGAGACACGGCCCAGACUCCUACGGGAGGCAGCAGUGGGGAAUAUUGCACAAUGGGGGAAACCCUGAUGCAGCCAUGCCGCGUGUGUGAAGAAGGCCUUCGGGUUGUAAAGCACUUUCAGUUGUGAGGAAAGGGUGUUGCUUAAUACGUAACAUCUGUGACGUUAGCAACAGAAGAAGA